rnacentral:rRNA from 1 species
AUACGGAGGAUCCGAGCGUUAUCCGGAUUUAUUGGGUUUAAAGGGUGCGCAGGCGGCCAUUUAAGUCAGCGGUUAAAUCGUGGGGCUCAACCCCAUUCUGCCGUUGAUACUGGGUGGCUUGAUUGCGGUCGAGGUUGGCGGAAUUCGUUGUGUAGCGGUGAAAUGCAUAGAUAUGACGAAGAACACCGAUUGCGUAGGCAGCUGACCAGAUCGCAAAUGACGCUCAUGCACGAAAGUGCGGGGAUCGAACAGGAUUAGAUACCCUGGUAGUCCGCACAGUAAACGAUGAAUACUUGUUUUCGGCGAUAUAAUGUCGGAGGUAAAGCGAAAGCGAUAAGUAUUCCACCUGGGGAGUACGCCGGCAACGGUGAAACUCAAAUGAAUUGACGGGG